UAAAAGCCAGCCUGACUACAAUUCCGUACC
rnacentral:piRNA from 1 species